AACUAGCUUCAUCUUUGCGAGUGUGGUAUGUUUGUACUUUGUUGUAGGAGUCCCUUCCUCCCUCCUUAUCUUUUGAAUCCCAAAUUCCAUGACGUACUGAAAAAUGUCGGCCCCUCUAACUCAACUACUCACCCCAACUCUCCCGCCAAAACCCCCAACUCACCACCCAUUUCCACUCUUCUUCUCCUUCUCCUCACCGCCGCUUCUCACUGCCCGCUGCCGGACCUCACACAAGUUCAUUAUCCGGAGCUCCAAUUCCAACUCCGACACCCAAACAAUACUCCCCAAGUCCGCCAUCCAGAGAAUCGCCGAGAAGCUCCGAGGUCUCGGCUUCACAGAAGAAACCCCGUCUCAGGAACCCGAACCCGCCACCAAAUCAACCCCCGGUGAAAUUUUCUUACCGUUGCCGAACCGGUUGGUCAAUCACCGUGUCGGUCACACCAUCGACACCAGCUGGAGCACGCCGCACAAUCCGGUUCCGGAGCCGGGCACGAGUACGGGCAUUAAGAGGUUUCAUGAACUCAGGGGCCAAGUGAGGCAGCAGAAGCAGGAGAAGAAGAACGAUGGGUCGACGAAGAAGACGAGGGAGUCCAGGGUUCCGACGCUAGCGGAGCUAACCUUGACUAGGGCGGAGCUGAGGAGGUUGACCACAUUAGGGAUUGAGUUGAAAAAGAAGCUCAAGGUAGGGAAGGCUGGGAUUACGGAAGGAAUUGUGAAUGGGAUUCACGAGCGGUGGAGACGAUCGGAGGUCGUCAAAAUCUUUUGUGAGGAUCUUUGCAGGAUGAACAUGAAGAGGACGCAUGAGUUAUUGGAGAAAAAAACUGGAGGUUUGGUCGUUUGGAGGUCUGGAAGUAAGAUAGUAUUAUAUAGAGGGAAGAAUUAUAAGUAUCCCUACUUUCUUAGCAAUACAAUUUCGAGUGAGGAGACCUCUCAUGGUACAUUAACAGAUCCACUUAGUGAAGAUAAUGAACCGAAUGAGCCCAGUACUUCUAGCGUGGAUGGAGUAAUUUCAACUGAAGAGGCCUCUCCUGGCGCAUUAGCUGAUUCACUAAGUGACGAUGAUGAACAGAAUGAGACUCAUACUUCUAGUAUGGAUGGAGUAAAAGUUGAUGCUUCACUUCCCUCGAAUAAAAUGGCUAAACCUGCUUUGAUCCAAGGUGUUGGCUUACGAAAUAGGGUGCGAUUUCAGCUGCCAGGAGAAGUACAAAUUGCAGAAGAAGCUGACCGCAUGCUAGAUGGAUUGGGUCCACGUUUUUCCGAUUGGUGGGGUUAUGAUCCUCAGCCUAUAGAUGCUGAUCUUCUUCCUGCUGUUGUUCCUGGAUACAGGAGACCUUUUCGGCUUCUUCCUUAUGGUGUGCAGCCUAAACUCACAGAUGAUGAAAUGACCACAUUGCGGAGACUUGCUCGGCCAUUACCAUGCCAUUUUGCAUUGGGCAGAAAUAGGAAACAUCAGGGAUUGGCAGCUUCUAUUGUCAAGCUUUGGGAAAAAUGUGAAGUUGCUAAGAUUGCUGUUAAAAGAGGGGUGCAGAACACUAAUAGUGAACUGAUGGCAGAAGAGUUAAAGAGUUUGACUGGAGGAACUCUUAUUGCCCGGGAUAGAGAAUUUAUAGUGUUAUAUAGAGGGAAAGAUUUUCUACCACCUGCAGUUUCUUCUGCAAUAGAAGAAAGGAGGAAAUAUGUAAUGCAGGGAAAGAAACUGAGCACAGAGCACACCACAUCAAUUAAAGUGGCGCAGGAUGAACUUGAGACCACACCAAGUGGUCCAAACGAACAUAGUGAGAUUCGUGAACAGAGACAGCUAACGUUUACUGAGGCUUCUGUUAGAAAAACUAGUCUUAAUUUGUCUGUGGCCUUGGAAAAGAAAGCUAAAGCAGAGCAACUUCUAGCUGAGUUGGAGAAGGCAGAGAUGCGCCAAGCUCCUGAAACAGAUAAAGAGGGUAUAACUGAAGAGGAAAGAUAUAUGCUGAGGAAGAUUGGUUUGAGAAUGAAUGCCUUCCUACUAAUGGGUAGACGGGGUGUUUUUGAUGGAACAAUUGAAAACAUGCAUCUUCAUUGGAAGUAUAGGGAACUAGUGAAGGUUAUAACUAAUGAGAAAAGCUUGGAAGCUGUUCACCAAGUAGCACGGACCUUAGAGGCAGAAAGCGGUGGGAUACUAGUAUCAGUGGAAAGGGUGAGUAAAGGCUAUGCAAUCAUUGUGUAUCGUGGAAAAAAUUAUGAGCGGCCUGCUACUUUGAGGCCUAAGACACUUAUGAAUAAGAAAACAGCAAUGAAACGCUCUUUUGAGGCACAGCGUCGUGAGUCACUGAAACUCCAUGUUUUGAGAAUCAAUAAACAUAUAGAUGACUUAAAGCUUAGAAUGGUUAAAGAGAAGGAAGCCAAUGACAAGCAGUCAAUUGUUGAAUCAAAUUCAAGUAAUAUGGUUCAAGAUAAGGUGAAUGAGAUAGAAUCAGCUGAAAGUUUGAUGGUUGAUGCUGAAGUGAAGCAUGGCUCUAUCUCUCUUCCCACAACUUCUAGGGAAGAGAUUGUUGCGGUUAAAGAAAAUGAUGUGAAUAAAAUACAGUCAGCUGGUGAUUCAGAUCUAAGUAACGUGGUUGGAGAUAAGGUGAAUGAGACAGAAUCAGUUGAAGGUUUGAGGUUUGAUGCUGAAGUCCAACAUGGUUUUCUCUCUUUUCCAACAACUUACGUGGAAGAGAUUGUUGCGUCCAAGGGAAUGAGCGAUACUCCUGCUGACGAUGCCCAGCAUGGUAGUUCUGAUAACAAAGCACUAGAGUCAUUUACAGACAAAAAUGAACUGGAACCAUCAGUUCCAAUUAAGAUAGAAAAUGGAUUGACUGAGAUGCCGUCUACAACUGUACAACUUUCCAACAGAGAGAGGCUUCUUCUCCGGAAGCAAGCCCUUAAGAUGAAAAAACGCCCUGUAAUUGCUGUAGGGAAGAGCAACAUUGUAACAGGCGUUGUUAAAACAAUCAAGGCCCACUUUCAAAAGCAUCCUCUUGCUAUAGUUAAUGUGAAAGGCAGAGCAAAAGGGACGUCUGUACAGGAAGUCAUUAUCAUGCUUGAGCAAGCAACUGGCGCGGUUCUAGUUUCUCAGGAGCCUAGCAAAAUCAUACUUUACCGAGGUUGGGGUGCAGGGGGCAGUUUCGAUCAAUCUGGUAAGAACAGGAGCGAUGCAAAUGCAAGGAGAAAACUUGGGACUCAGCCUGGCGUGUCUCCUGAACUCUUGGCAGCAAUCAAAACUGAAUGUGGGUUUGAGUCUCAAAACAAGGAAGACGCAUCAUCUCCAUAGCAUUUUAACAGAAGUAAAUAGGAACAGGUACAGUGUGAGGAACUUAAACAGUGAGGUGAACCUUCUAAAAUGUCCGCCUACUGUUUAUAGCUGGUUGAUAUUUGGGAGUUAUUUUACAAAGUACAAACCAAUCCUUGACUUGGAGAAGAGGACAUUGUAAUUGAAGAUUUGCUGGCCGAAGCAGAUUAGCAAUAAUGGGAGAUGGGAAAACGAAUGCUGUUCUGUCUCACAUUGAACUUUUCGUAACAUGGGGAAUUGAGCUUUUGCAUUCUUCUGGUCCGGGCCAUCGUCUUUGCCACGUCUUCAUCAGUUUUAUUACCAAUUCUGUCAUAGCCUGUUUCUUAUCAAAGCUGAUGCAUUUAUUUAAAGUAAAAUGAAUAAAAAAACAAAAGAGUUUGCAGGCUUCACGACAAGAGAGAAUGAAUCAAAAAGUGACAGGAGUAGGAAGGAAGGAAGGAGCUCCAACCGCCAGCCUUUUCAAAAUCAUACCAUGGGCCACAAAUUUCAUCAAUAUUGUAAUGAGCAAGUUUUUGGCGUGACUAAUAUAGUGUGGUUUGCAGGGACCAUUAACUCCCACUCUUAAAUAGUUGAGAUUCCAAAACAUCAUAAUACUGUUAUUUUCAAUUAUUGGGGUUGGAUUUUAUUCCUACGGCUCAUAAUAGUUUUAUUAAUUAUUAAAGCUAAAUUUAAACAAAAUCCAACUCAUUAAUAAUAUACUUUGUGGAGCAGAAUUAUUCAUG